rnacentral:rRNA from 1 species
GCCUGUUUAUCAAAAACAUGUCCUUUAGAGUUUAAUUUAAGGUCUAACCUGCCCACUGAAUUAAUAUUUAAAUGGCCGCAGUAAUUUGACUGUGCAAAGGUAGCAUAAUCAUUAGUUUUUUAAUUGAAAGCUUGUAUGAAGGGUUGGACGAGGUAAAAUCUGUCUCUAAUAAAAUUAAUUUAGAAUUUAACUUUUAAGUUAAAAGGCUUAAAUUUAUCUAAAAGACGAGAAGACCCUAUAGAUCUUUAUAAUUUUUUUUAUUAAAAUUAAUUAAGAAUUUUUAGAAUUUUAUUAAAAUAAUUAUUUUAUUGGGGUAAUAUAAAGAUUUAAAUAAUUCUUUUUUUCUAUUAACAUUAAUUUAUGAAUGUUUGAUCCAAUUUUAUUGAUUAUAAGAUUAAGUUACCUUAGGGAUAACAGCGUAAUUUUUUUAGAGAGUUCAUAUCGAUAAAAAAGUUUGCGACCUCGAUGUUGGAUUAAAGAUUAUUUUAGGUGCAGAAGCUUAAAAAUUUGGUCUGUUCGACCAUUAAAUCUUUACAUGAUCUGAGUUCAGACCGG